GCCCCCGUAGCUCAAUGGAUAGAGCGCCUGACUUCGAAUCAGUAGGUUCGGUGUUCGAAUCACCGCGGGGGCG
rnacentral:tRNA from 1 species